rnacentral:lncRNA from 1 species
UAGUAUUGUUGGUAUUUUUAAUUAGAGUUAUAUUUUGAAAUCCUAUUUUUUUUAGAUUGACAUAUAUGUGUUUAGUGACUAUCUAAUUACUUGAUUUAAACAAUUUCUAAGUUUCUUUUAAGUUUAAGGAAUUGUUUUUGCUUAAUUAUUUGAUUAUAGGGUCUGAAAGACUUUGGUUUAGGGUUUAGUAACAUAUGUUAUAGUAUUGUUUGUAUUUAGCGUUAGAUUUUAGAAUCUUAACUUUCCUAUUUUUUUUACCUACAUGUGUUUAGUUUUGUGUAUAUUAAACGCUUU